rnacentral:rRNA from 1 species
GACGAACGCUGGCGGCGUGCCUAAUACAUGCAAGUAGGACGCAGUUGCGAACGGGUGAGUAACGCGUAGGUAACUGCCUAUUAGAGGGGGAUAACUAUUGGAAACGAUAGCUAAUACCGCAUACUAGUAGAUGGACCUGCGUUGUAUUAUCUAGUAGGUAGGGUAAUGGCCUACCUAGGCAACGAUACAUAGCCGACCUGGGAGGGUGGUCGGCCAAAACGGGACUGAGACAAGGGCCAGAAGCCUACGGGAGGGAGCAGUAGGGAAUCUUCGGGAAUGGGGGGAAACCUGAACGAGCAAAGCCGCGGGAGUGAAGAAGGUUUUCGGAUCGGAAAGCUCUGUUGUUAAGGAAGCGGUAAUUAACCAGAAAGGGACGGCUAACUACGUGCCAGCAGCCGCGGUAAUUC